UGGCGGACGGGUGAGUAACGCGUGGGUAACCUUCCUUGUACUGGGGGACAACAGUUAGAAAUGACUGCUAAUACCGCAUAAGCGCACAGUAUCGCAUGAUACAGUGUGAAAAACUCCGGUGGUACAAGAUGGACCCGCGUCUGAUUAGCUAGUUGGUAAGGUAACGGCUUACCAAGGCGACGAUCAGUAGCCGACCUGAGAGGGUGACCGGCCACAUUGGGACUGAGACACGGCCCAA
rnacentral:rRNA from 1 species